rnacentral:rRNA from 1 species
UACAGAGGGUGCGAGCGUUGUCCGGAAUCACUGGGCGUAAAGGGCGCGUAGGCGGCUUGAUAAGCGUGCGGUGAAAGCCCGGGGCUCAACCCCGGGUCGGCCGUGCGAACUGUCGAGCUGGAGCACUGUAGAGGCAGGUGGAAUUCCGGGUGUAGCGGUGGAAUACGUAGAGAUCCGGAAGAACACCGGUGGCGAAGGCGGCCUGCUGGGCAGUGGCUGACGCUGAGGCGCGACAGCGUGGGGAGCAAACAGG